CCCAAUUUCACGGUCCACUGAACAUAGAAAACGAUAGUGCGAGUGGGGCAUCCGUGUACUUGGGACAUAUUCUUCUUUGUCCAUAGAUUUACGAGUUUUGAACAGCGGUAUACUACUGUUGCCUUUAUUUAUCUCCAAACAUUUCUUUUUGGCAUACUAAAUGCCACAAAUGCAACCAAAACAAUAUCAAUACAAGCUCGACAGCUUAUUAGAGCACAGACAAGAUAAAACACAUGAUGAAAGAAUUGAUAGAAUUUUUUGUUAUAGGUUUAUUUAUGAUAUAUAUUGUUACAUACAUAUUUAUGAAUUAAGCUCAAGAUCUGUAUUUAAUCAUUUGUUUUGCAUUUUAUGUUUUUAAUUAUCUAGAUGACAUAAUAAACUAGAAAAAGAAAGCAUUUAUUAUAAUUUAACAUUUCAUUACAUAUAAUAUAAUAAACGUUACCA
rnacentral:lncRNA from 1 species